rnacentral:rRNA from 1 species
ACGAACGCUGGCGGCGUGCUUAACACCUGCAAGUCGAACGGAAAGGCCCUGCUUUUGUGGGGUGCUCGAGUGGCGAACGGGUGAGUAACACGUGAGUAACCUGCCCUUGACUUUGGGAUAACUUCAGGAAACUGGGGCUAAUACCGGAUAGGAGCUCCUGCUGCAUGGUGGGGGUUGGAAAGUUUCGGCGGUUGGGGAUGGACUCGCGGCUUAUCAGCUUGUUGGUGGGGUAGUGGCUUACCAAGGCUUUGACGGGUAGCCGGCCUGAGAGGGUGACCGGCCACAUUGGGACUGAGAUACGGCCCAGACUCCUACGGGAGGCAGCAGUGGGGGAUAUUGCACAAUGGGCGGAAGCCUGAUGCAGCAACGCCGCGUGCGGGAUGACGGCCUUCGGGUUGUAAACCGCUUUCGCCUGUGACGAAGCGUGAGUGACGGUAAUGGGUAAAGAAGCACCGGCUAACUACGU